AGAAAUCGUUAAGGGCGUAUGGCGGAUGCCUAGGCUUUCAGAGGCGACGAAGGACGUGGUAAGCUGCGAAAAGCUACGGGGAUUGGCACACACGAAUAGAUCCGUAGAUAUCCGAAUGGGGCAACCCAAUACAUUGAAGAUGUAUUACUGCGCAAGCAGAGCAAACCCGGAGAACUGAAACAUCUAAGUACCCGGAGGAAAAGAAAUCGAAGAGAUUCCGUAAGUAGUGGCGAGCGAAAGCGGAUUAGCCCAAAAGUUUAUAUAUGUUUAAUAGAACACUUUGGAAAGAGUGGCCAUAGAGGGUGAUAGCCCCGUACAUGAAAGGCAUAUUUAGAUGAUACAAGAGUAGGGCGGGACACGUGAAAUCCUGUCUGAAUAUGGGGGGACCAUCCUCCAAGGCUAAAUACUCCUGAAAGACCGAUAGUGAACAAGUACUGUGAAGGAAAGGUGAAAAGCACUUCGAAUAGAAGGGUGAAAUAGAACCUGAAACCGUACGCCUACAAGCGGUCGGAGCAGCUUAAUGCUGUGACGGCGUGCCUUUUGCAUAAUGAGCCUACGAGUUAAUUUUACUAGCGAGGUUAAGUAAUUAAGUUACGGAGCCGGAGCGAAAGCGAGUCUGAAUAGGGCGAAUAGUUAGUAGGAUUAGACGCGAAACCUUGUGAUCUACCCAUGGGCAGGUUGAAGCUUUGGUAACACAAAGUGGAGGACCGAACCGGUUGACGUUGAAAAGUCUUCGGAUGACCUGUGGGUAGGGGUGAAAGGCCAAUCAAACUGGGAGAUAGCUCGUACUCUCCGAAAUGCAUUUAGGUGCAGCGUUUGAUGAUAAGUUUAUUAGAGGUAGAGCUACUGAUUGGAUGCGGGGGUUUCACCGCCUACCAAUUCCUGACAAACUCCGAAUGCUAGUAAAAUGUUCAUCAGCAGUGAGGGCAUGGGUGCUAAGGUCCAUGUCCCGAGAGGGAAAAGAACCCGGGACCAACAGCUAAGGUCCCCAAAUAUAUGCUAAAGUUGAAAUAACCGGUUGGGACUGCAUUGACAGAGGAUGUUUGGCUUGGAAGCAGCCAUUCAUUUAAAGAGUGCGUAACAGCUCACUAGUCGAGCGGUCCGGCAUGGAUAAUAAUCGGGCAUAAGCAUAUUACCGAAGCUAUGGGAUGUAUUAAAUACAUCGGUAGGAGAGCAUUCUAUCGGCGCAGAAGCAGUAUCGCGAGGUAUUGUGGAGCUUAUAGAAAAGAAAAUGUAGGCAUAAGUAACGAUAAAGGGGGCGAGAAACCCCCUCACCGAAAGACUAAGGUUUCCUCAGCCCUGCUAAUCAGCUGAGGGUUAGUCGGGACCUAACGCGCACCCGAAAGGGGAAGUGGAUGGACAAUGGGUUAAUAUUCCCAUACUUGCUCACACUAAAAAGGGGACGGAUUGCCGUACUUACUGAAGACUGACGGAAUAGUUGAGACCUAGCCUACGGGCGAAGUUGUUGUAGGGAAAGCAGUUCCAAGAAAAGCCGAAGUGAAGCAACCCGUACCAAAACCGACACAGGUAGUCGAGGAGAGAAUCCUAAGGUGCUCGAGUGAGUCGUGGCUAAGGAACUAGGCAAAAUAGUCUCGUAACUUCGGAAGAAGAGACGCCAACAGAAAUGUUGGCCGCAGUGAAGAGGCCCAGGCGACUGUUUAUCAAAAACACAGGACUCUGCUAAAUCGAAAGAUGCUGUAUAGGGUCUGACACCUGCCCGGUGCUGGAAGGUUAAGGAAGGUGCUUAGCGUAAGCGAAGGCAUUAACUGAAGCCCCAGUAAACGGCGGCCGUAACUAUAACGGUCCUAAGGUAGCGAAAUUCCUUGUCGGGUAAGUUCCGACCUGCACGAAUGGUGUAACGAUCUGGGCACUGUCUCAGCCACGAGCUCGGUGAAAUUGUAGUAUCGGUGAAGAUGCCGAUUACCCGCAAUGGGACGAAAAGACCCUGUGAACCUUUACUAUAACUUCGUAUUGACUUUGAGUAAACAAUGUGUAGGAUAGGUGGGAGGCUAUGAAGCUGGCACGCUAGUGUUGGUGGAGCCGUUGUUGAAAUACCACCCUUUGUUUACUUAGAGCCUAACUCGGAAACGAGGACAUUGCGUGGUGGGUAGUUUGACUGGGGUGGUCGCCUCCAAAAGAGUAACGGAGGCUUUCAAAGGUACCCUCAGCACGCUUGGUAACCGUGCGUAGAGUGUAAUGGCAUAAGGGUGCUUGACUGUGAGACCCACAAGUCGAUCAGGUGCGAAAGCAGGACAUAGUGAUCCGGUGGUUCCGUAUGGAAGGGCCAUCGCUCAUAGGAUAAAAGGUACUCCGGGGAUAACAGGCUAGUCUCCCCCAAGAGCUCACAUCGACGGGGAGGUUCGGCACCUCGAUGUCGGCUCGUCACAUCCUGGGGCUGGAGAAGGUCCCAAGGGUUGGGCUGUUCGCCCAUUAAAGUGGCACGCGAGCUGGGUUCAGAACGUCGUGAGACAGUUCGGUCUCUAUCUAUUGCGGGCGUUAGAUGUUUGAGAGGGCUUGAAUCUAGUACGAGAGGACCGAUUUGAACAAACCUCUGGUGUAUCUGUUGUGCCGCCAGGCGCACCGCAGAGUAGCUAAGUUUGGUAAGGAUAAGCACUGAAGGCAUAUAAGUGCGAAACCUGCCUCAAGAUGAGACAUCUUUUAAGGGUCGUGGGAGAUGACCACGUUGAUAGGCUACAGGUGUAAAGUUGGUAACAGCAUGGCCGAGUAGUCUAAUUACCCGUAGAUUUAUAGCC
rnacentral:rRNA from 1 species